GGCCUCGUGGCCCAAUGGCAAGGCGUCUGACUACGAGUGAUGAUUCAACGAGAAUCUUACACGGAAUCAGGAGAUUCUGGGUUCGACCCCCAGCGAGGUCA